UGGAGCGGCGCAGUCGGCCGCGGGGCGUGGUCGGAGAGGUGACUCCUUUGGGGCCUUCGGGGGCCGGCGGGUGUCGGGAGCCUCAGGGAAGCGAGACUGGAAAGCCCGGGGCCCUCUGGACCCCGAGGGGUGGGGCUGGCCCCCCGGCAGCCUGAACACCAGCGUCUCCGUGUGCUGGUGUCUCCUGAGCCUCUCGCCAGCUGCAGUGUCGGAUCCCUGGUCCACGCUGAAAGGCCGCCAGUGCUGUCACACUCAGGGUUAUGUUUGUCCUUCUCCAGGUUUGUCGUUCCCCACUCAACUCCGCGCCGUCUCAUCCACGCUAGCAGAGUCCAGGUCUUUAGCCCGGAUCUGGCUCAGAAGCUGCCCUCUGCAGCAGCUCCCGGGGGGACAAUGGGACCUGCGUGUCCUGCAGACUCCUCACGACCCAUGUGUCAAAAACUGGAUUCCUGUUUUCCUUGAGGACCCCUUCGCCCCCGGGUAAAGGAGGGCUCGUCCCGGAGUCACUCGGCGCACCGACCGCCGCCGCGACAUCCCGGAGCGCCGAGCUGAGUCGGGCCACCGGGGCCAGCCUGGCCGGGACAGCGGGGACCCAAGAACUUCGGAGACUAGGAGGAGGGAUGGUGUGGAGCCGCGUCUCCCGCUCGAGCUUGCCCACCCACCCACUGCCUGGGAAUGUGCACGUCUAACGGGCUUCCCGGUGUGGGUGAUGCUGCUGUCUGGGGAUAUUUUGACAACCACUCACGUAGUAAUUGAGUGUAUAGACUCCGGAAUUAAAUGGGACUUGCUUUAAAUCUCGCCUCUGCUAUUCACUAUCUCUGUCACCUUUUUGAGCCUCUAUUAAAUUACUGAAAGUACUCGCUUGUGAGAAUUAGAUAGUGGAGACAUGACUGUAUUCAUGGAUGGCAAAAAACACAAACGUAGAAUGAAAGCAAACAAGCUGAAGAAAAACAGUAUUUCCAAUAAAAUAGUACUCUUUAAAGAAAAUCCGCAAGAGAAAGCAAGCCACCCCAAAAGGAAAAAAAAAAAAAUGGAAAUGUGGAAGGCAUGAACUAGCAUUAAGUCAAAGACUAGAAA